UGAGGUUAUGGCCUCGUUCAUUUGACGUCUUAGUUCAAAUUAAGUGACAACAACAGUCUUCAGCCUUAUCUCCUCAAAUAAAACCACAUACCUGACAUUUUAGUCGAUAGGGAUGACAAAAAGGGCAUAAAAACAGGAACAAAAGGCAGAUUCAAAAAUAAUCAAUUGCAUAGCGAAAUAUUCCCCAAAAUUAACCAAACCAAGAGCCAAAAUUAAAGCUUACUACUAUAUCUGCUCCCUCACACAUGAAAGUUACACAUAAAUCAGAAAAUUCCCCCUCUUUAACUUUGAAAAAAGUUUAACUCAAUCGCCCAAUGGGCCAAAUGCAUCCAACACCUUUAAUAAGUUCUUUUCUAAAGUGGCUUUUUAUUUAGAAUUAAGCGUCAUAAACGCACUCAAUGCCUACUGAACAUGCGAUAGGUACAAAAAAGCAGGAGAAAAAUCGGCUGUGGAUCUUAAAAUGAUAUUUACCAGAAGUUGACAUCCCUACUAAUCCAUCUCGUUUGAGCAAGUGGUCAGCUGAGAGAAGAAGAAACUGGAAGGCCGAGCAAGUCUGGCCUUGUUGCCUUCAGUGAGAGCUCGACCAAACAGGAAGCAAGGGGCAAGGCAGUUUGUUGUGGGGGGCAGCAAUGCUCCUUGCAAGUUAGGCGAGACUUUGAGAGAAGUGCAUGCACACUUGGACCAUAGGAAGGAGAGCGGCACACAGCAGCGCGCUUUCUGGCUGGCUUGAAUCACAAAGACGUGGGAACACUGAACGCUCAAGGGAGGACAAGAAGAAGAAGAAGAAGAAGAAGAA